rnacentral:misc_RNA from 1 species
GAUGAAGAACGUAGCGAAAUGCGAUAAGUAAUGUGAAUUGCAGAAUUCAGUGAAUCAUCGAAUCUUUGAACGCACCUUGCGCUCUUUGGUAUUCCGAAGAGCAUGCCUGUUUGAGUGUCAUGAAAAUAUCAACCUUGACUUGGGUUUUGUGCUCUAGUCUCGGCUUGGAAUUGGGUGCUUGCCGCUUUUACGUGCGGCUCACCUUAAAUGUAUUAGCUGGAUCUGUCUUUGAGACUUGGUUUGACUUGGCGUAAUAAGUAUUUCGCUAAGGACAUUCUUCGGAGUGGCCUCGUUUCUAGGACGCUUGUCCGCUUUCCAAUACAAGUUCCACCUCGUGGACAUGACUUUUUAUUAUCUGGCCUCAAAUCAGGUAGGACUACCCGCUGAACUUAAGCAUAUCAAUAAGCGGAGGA